UCCCUCCUUUUUCUGAAUACAUGGUGUAUCAUGUUUCUUAAGACAUGGCUUGGACCAAGAAUUACUUUAUUUUAUAUGUGAUGUAAUAUGAUACGAAACCACAAUUUUCAGUAAGUAGUUUUGAAGAUGGAUCUGGUGAUGCAAAUUUCAUGUCAUAAACCCACGUAUUGACGAAGUAAUUUUUGGUCAAAGCCUUGUCUUGACUAAAUCUUAUACACCCUGUAUUGAGAAAAAUAGGGAGU